GCAUUUAUAGCGUUCUAUGCAAAUUAGGUAAAUUUAUAAAAAAAGCAAGCCAUGCCUCACAUGCAUGAGGUCGAGGGUUCGAGCCCCCCUAUCUCCA
rnacentral:tRNA from 1 species